GGAGAGGAGAGGAAGAGAGGAGACGAAGCGGCGAAGCCCUGUCCACACGUCGGUUUGGAGAUAUGGCGCAGACACCAAAGCUUCUUGACGCGCACAUCGAUGAACGGCACAGGUCGUACCUGGCUGCGGUGGAGGGGCAGGAGCUUCACGAGUUGCGCCCUCGUGUAGCAAAGGAGUUGUUGCACCUGGACGACCGCUGGCUUGACAGGUUACGUGAGGCUGGUUUGCUGCC